rnacentral:rRNA from 1 species
UACAGAGGUCUCAAGCGUUGUUCGGAUUCAUUGGGCGUAAAGGGUGCGUAGGCGGCGCGGUAAGUCGGGUGUGAAAUCUCGGGGCUUAACUCCGAAGCUGCAUUCGAUACUGCCGUGCUUGAGGACUGGAGAGGAGACUGGAAUUUACGGUGUAGCGGUGAAAUGCGUAGAUAUCGUAAGGAAGACCAGUGGCGAAGGCGGGUCUCUGGACAGUUCCUGACGCUGAGGCACGAAGGCGAGGGGAGCAAACGGG